rnacentral:rRNA from 1 species
AUAUUGGACAAUGGGCGCAAGCCUGAUCCAGCCAUGCCGCGUGAGUGAUGAAGGCCCUAGGGUUGUAAAGCUCUUUCGGCGGGGACGAUAAUGACGGUACCCGCAGAAGAAGCCCCGGCUAACUUCGUGCCAGCAGCCGCGGUAAUACGAAGGGGGCUAGCGUUGUUCGGAAUCACUGGGCGUAAAGGGCGCGUAGGCGGCCGAUCAAGUCGGGGGUGAAAGCCUGUGGCUCAACCACAGAAUUGCCUUCGAUACUGUUUGGCUUGAGACCGGAAGAGGUAAGUGGAACUGCGAGUGUAGAGGUGAAAUUCGUAGAUAUUCGCAAGAACACCAGUGGCGAAGGCGGCUUACUGGUCCGGUUCUGACGCUGAGGCGCGAAAGCGUGGGGAGCAAACAGG